rnacentral:rRNA from 1 species
AGAGUUUGAUCCUGGCUCAGGAUGAACGCUGGCGGCGUGCUUAACACAUGCAAGUCGAGCGGAGAAUUAGGAAGGAAUCCCUUCGGGGAGGAAUUCCUAAUUCUUAGCGGCGGACGGGUGCGUAACACGUGGGUAACCUGCCCUUAUCACCGGGAUAACACACUGAAAAGUGUGCUAAUACCGGAUAACAUCAUUUUAUGGCAUCAUAAAAUGAUCAAAGCGUUAGCGGAUAAGGAUGGGCCCGCGUCUGAUUAGCUAGUUGGUAGGGCAACGGCCUACCAAGGCAACGAUCAGUAGCCGACCUGAGAGGGUGAUCGGCCACACUGGAACUGAGACACGGUCCAGACUCCUACGGGACGCAGCA